rnacentral:rRNA from 1 species
UACGUAGGGUGCGAGCGUUACUCGGAAUUACUGGGCGUAAAGUGUGCGCAGGCGGCCCUUGAAGUCAGGCGUGAAAGCCCCGGGCUCAACCUGGGAGGUGCGCUUGAUACUCGAGGGCUUGAGUGCGGGAGAGGAGAGUGGAAUUCCCAGUGUAGAGGUGAAAUUCGUAGAUAUUCGCAAGAACACCAGUGGCGAAGGCGGCUCACUGGCCCGGUACUGACGCUGAGGUGCGAAAGCGUGGGGAGCAAACAGG